rnacentral:rRNA from 1 species
AGUGAACGCUGGCGGUAGGCCUAAUACAUGCAAGUCGAACGGCAGCACAGUAAGAGCUUGCCCCUACGGGUGGCGAGGGGCGGGCGGGUGAGGAAUACAUCAGCAUCUACUUAUUCGUGGGGGACAACGUAGGGAAACUGACGCUAAUAGCGCAUACGACCUACGGGUGAAAGCAGGGGAUCUUCGGAGCUUGCGCGACUCAAUGAGCCGAUGCCGCAUUAGCUAGUUGGCGGGGUAAAGGCCCACCAAGGCAACGAUCCGUAGCUGAUCUGAGAGGAUGAUCGGCCACACUGGAACUGAGACACGGUCCAGACUCCUACGGGAGGCAGCAGUAGGGAAUAUUCGACAAUGGGCGCAAGCCUGAUCCAGCAAUACCGCGUGAGUGAAGAAGGCCUUCGGAUUGUAAAGCCCUUUUAUUGGGAAAGAAAAGCUGUGUGUUAAUAUCCCGCUGUUCUGACGGUACCCAAUCAGUAAGCAACGGCUAACUUCGUG